UUCCCCUAAUUUACGCACACACUCAGCCCUCACCAUGUACACAGACAGAAAGAAAAGGGUGGAGCUCGAAGAGAGGGGGGAGAAGGACAAGGAAGGAGAAGGGGAAAAGGAGAGACGGCGCCGGUGGGUGUCACCGCCACCGUCGCCGCCGUCGGGAGAGUCAUAACGCAAGGAGAGAGAGAGAGCGCUGCAGCCACUGGAGAGGAGCCCUCCAGCCCUCGUCACUAUCAGCUCCAUCGCCGUCGUCACCAUUGGAUCUGCGUGAAACGGUCGUCCUCAUCGUCACAAUCGAUGCUUCUCCUCGUCGUUUGUGGGUUGUCACCUCUCCUGCUUCUGCUGUCACGCCAUCGUCUGCCCUUCUGGACUUUGCUGAUUUUGAAUCACGCCCUGUCACUGGUUCUCUGCCUCCUUGUUGUGGCCCAACCUCUAAUUAGGAUCGCUGUUGGUUGCAGCAGAUUAGAGCGCCUCAGCUUGAAGUGGUGCUUUGAGAUUUCUGAUCUUGGCGUUGACCUUCUUUGCAAGAAGUGCUUCUAUUUGAAAGUUCUCGAUGUCUCGUAUCUCAAGGUUAGUUAGUUAGUUAGUUAUGGAAAGGUGUUUGGCCAUGACAUUAUUGGUAGUACUUAUUUGAGAGCCACUAAUUGGAUAUGCUGAUUAGAUGAUCCAUUUUGGUUUUGACUUUUCAGUUUUCACACUUAGUCCUUUGUCUUUGUUCAAAACAGUUAUCUCAGUUCCACAUUACAGUACCAUGUGCAGAUUGGUGAAUGAAAGGGACAGAGAGAUUGAGAAACAAAGCUGGACACUGUGAGUUUUUGGCCUAUAAUAUCAGUUCAAACAACAUAAAAAGUAUAACUAGAUCAUUGUCAAGUUUUACAUUCAUGCCUUGAGUUUUCAAGACUCAACAAAAACAAAGGGGAAGCAUUGGAAGCUGGGAAGAGUUACUAUGGAAGGUUGCUGAAUUACAAGAAGGAUGGGAUGCCCUUCUGGAACCUACUUACAAUUUCACCCAUCAAGGACGAAGACGGCAAAGUCAUCGAAUUCAUCGGGAAGACAUGAUGUGAAGAAAAUAUGUUCCAUACAAAUAUGACAUGGAAUGGGUCUUACACUUUAAUUAUCUAAAUGUAAUUUUUUGAUGUGUUCUGUACUUUUUGAAAAGAGACUUUACUCGGUAUUACAUGUAAUUGGAUAUAUUACACUCUAUUUUGAUUUCUGUUGUUUAGACUCAAA